rnacentral:lncRNA from 1 species
GGGUUUCGACUAGAGAGUGAUGAACUUAGAGGGAAGUGUGCCAACAUGUUGGUCCAAUGGUGGUGGCGUUGGUGCCAUGACAGGUGUUAAAGCAGGGUCGCAGAGGCAACACGAUUGUUUGUUGAGCAACAACACCGUAUGAAGUGAUCAUGAUGAAAAUAACGGUGGGGUGGUGACAACAAGAUCCUACUGUAGUACAACGAGUGGAGGUGAAGAUAGUGGAAGGCACAAACGCAAUCAUGGUCGGACGGAGAAGAAGAGGCGUUGGGUGAGAGGUUGAAUGAAGAUUGAGGUACAUUGGAUGGCCAUCAAAUUAGAGGGUUAUACCUCAUAGACAUCGGGUUUUAUUUUUUCUAUAUUGUAUAUUCUCUCCGUUCCAAAAAGAGGAUAAAUACAUAACUAGAAAUGCACUCUUUUCGGGAUGAAAGGAGUACAGGCUACCGUAUCGACCACUGCAACACGGAUCACUUGCGAAUCUUGUUGUGCUCAUGUACUUCAGCAUGCAAGCGUGAAACUAAGAAUAGGUUGGAUCUCAUAAGGAUUAUAGAAAUCAGCUAAAAAAAUC